rnacentral:rRNA from 1 species
UACGUAGGGUGCGAGCGUUUAUCGGAAUUACUGGGCGUAAAGCGUGCGUAGACGGUCAUGUAAGUCGGGUGUGAAAGCCCCGGGCUCAACCUGGGAAUUGCAUUCGAGACUGCAUGGCUAGGAUGCGGAAGAGGGAAGCGGAAUUUCCGGUGUAGCGGUGAAAUGCGUAGAUAUCGGAAGGAACACCAGUGGCGAAAGCGGCUUCCUGGUCCAGCAUCGACGUUCAGGCACGAAAGCGUGGGGAGCAAACAGG